AAAAGCGGAGGAAAAGAAACUAACAAGGAUUCCCCUAGUAACGGCGAGUGAACCGGGAAGAGCUCAAAUUUGAAAUCUGGCGUGCUCAGUGCGUCCGAGUUGUAAUCUAUAGAGUCGUUUUCCGUGCCGGACUGUGUCCAAGUCCCUUGGAACAGGGUAUCAAAGAGGGUGAUAAUCCCGUACUUGACACAAUGACCGGUGCUCUGUGAUACGUCUUCUACGAGUCGAGUUGUUUGGGAAUGCAGCUCAAAAUGGGUGGUGAGUUCCAUCUAAAGCUAAAUAUUGGCGAGAGACCGAUAGCGAACAAGUACCGUGAGGGAAAGAUGAAAAGCACUUUGGAAAGAGAGUUAAACAGUACGUGAAAUUGUUAAAAGGGAAACGAUUGAAGUCAGUCGUGACUGAGAGGCUCAGCCGGUUCUGCCGGUGUAUUCCCCUCAGUCGGGUCAACAUCAGUUUUGUUCGGUGGAUAAGGGCGGUUGGAAGGUGGCACCCUCGGGUGUGUUAUAGCCAACUGUCGCAUACAUCGGAUGAGACUGAGGAAUGCAGCUCGCCUUUAUGGCCGGGGUCGCCCACGUCGAGCUAGGAUUGACAUACUGUGGGCGGA
rnacentral:rRNA from 1 species